CUUGGUCAUUUAGAGGAAGUAAAAGUCGUAACAAGGUUUCCGUAGGUGAACCUGCGGAAGGAUCAUUCAUAAUAAGUGUUUUAUGGCACUUUUUAAAUCCAUAUCCACCUUGUGUGCAAUGUCAGUCGAUCUUCUUCAUGGAGAUCGACCAAACAUCAACCUUUAUUUUUUAACUCUUUGUCUGAAAAAUAUUAUGAAUAAACAAUUCAAAAUACAACUUUCAACAACGGAUCUCUUGGCUCUCGCAUCGAUGAAGAACGCAGCGAAAUGCGAUACGUAAUGUGAAUUGCAGAAUUCAGUGAAUCAUCGAAUCUUUGAACGCAUAUUGCGCUCUUUGGUAUUCCGAAGAGCAUGCUUGUUUGAGUAUCAGUAAACACCUCAAAGCUUUUGGAUUUUUUAAUCGAAAAGCUUUGGACUUGAGCAAUCCCAACACCAAUCUUUUUGAGAUCGGUGGCGGGUUGCUUGAAAUGCAGGUGCAGCUGGACAUUCUCCUGAGCUAAAAGCAUAUUCAUUUAGUCCCGUCAAACGGAUUAUUACUUUUGCUGCAGCUAACAUAAAGGGAGUUUGACCGUAUUGGCUGACUGAUGCAGGAUUUCACAAGGGUCGGCAACGAUUCUUGUUAAACUCGAUCUCAAAUCAAGUAAGACUACCCGCUGAACUUAAGCAUAUCAAUAAGCGGAGGAAAAGAAACUAACAAGGAUUCCCCUAGUAACGGCGAGUGAAGCGGGAUGAGCUCAAAUUUAAAAUCUGGCUGGUUUACUAGUCCGAAUUGUAGUUUAUAGAAGCGUUUUCGGUGGCAGCCCGGGUAUAAAUCCUUUGGAAUAGGGUAUCAUAGAGGGUGAGAAUCCCGUCUUUGACUCAGUGCAUGCUACUAUGUGAUACGUUUUCAAAGAGUCGAGUUGUUUGGGAAU
rnacentral:sRNA from 1 species